rnacentral:rRNA from 1 species
AAUGAACGUUGGCGGCGUGGAUUAGGCAUGCAAGUCGAGCGCGAUGAGUUUGGUAGCUUGCUAUUGAACUCGGAAAGCGGCGAAAGGGAGAGUAACGUGUAGUUACGUGCCCCAGGGUUCGGAAUAGCCACGGGAAACUGUGGGUAAUGCCGAAUAACAUCGCCGGAUCAAAGGGUUGAUUCCGCACUGGGAGCGGACUGCGUCCUACUAGCUAGUUGGCGGGGUAAUGGCCGACCAAGGCAACAAUGGGUAGCGGGUGUGAGAGCAUGACCCGUCUCACUGGGAAUGAGACACUGCCCAGACGCCUACGGGUGGCUGCAGUCGAGAAUCUUCGGCAAUGGGCGAAAGCCUGACCGAGCGACGCCGCGUGCGGGAUGAAGGCCCUCGGGUUGUAAACCGCUGUCGUAGGGGAGGAAGGCUCUGUGAAGAACAGGGUUUGACCUAUCCUAGGAGGAAGUACGGGCUAAGUUCGUGCCAGCCGCCGCGGUAAUAC